CACGUAGGCACCAAGCGUUGUCCGGAUUUAUUGGGCGUAAAGAGCUCGUAGGCGGUUCGGUAAGUCGGGUGUGAAAACUUUGGGCUCAACCCAAAGCGUGCACUCGAUACUGCCGUGACUAGAGUUCGGUAGGGGAGCGGGGAAUUCCCGGUGUAGCGGUGAAAUGCGCAGAUAUCGGGAGGAACACCUAUGGCGAAGGCAGCUCGCUGGGACGUUACUGACGCUGGAGACGCGAAAGCGUGGGGAGCAAACAGG
rnacentral:rRNA from 1 species